GUUAGCCAGAUGAUUGCGUUGGCACAAAGGCCAAUGAGGAAAGUCCGAGCACCAUAGAGCAAGUGCACUUGAUAACGUCAAGCUAGGGUGACCUAAGGAAAAGGGCAACAGAGAUAUACCGCCAACUAACUAUAUGUGAAGGGCAAGGGUGGAAAAGUGAGGUAAGAGCUCACUCUAAGGUAUGGUGACAUAUCUUAGCUGUAAACUCUGCACGGUGCAAGAUGUGGGACAUGUAGGGCUGCUCGUCCGUCCCCAAAAUCGCAUGAGCGGUUUGGCAACAAAUCGCCUAGAUAGAUAAUCAUCUAAAACAGAACUCGGCUUAUAGACUAACUUUA
rnacentral:RNase_P_RNA from 1 species